rnacentral:rRNA from 1 species
UACGUAGGCAGCGAGCGUUGUUCGGAAUUACUGGGCGUAAAGAGUGUGUAGGCGGUGCUCUAAGUCUGUUGUGAAAUCUCCCGGCUCAACUGGGAGGGUGCGGCGGAAACUGGAGUGCUCGAGUGUGGGAGAGGUAAGCGGAAUUCCUGGUGUAGCGGUGAAAUGCGUAGAUAUCAGGAAGAACACCUAUGGCGAAGGCAGCUCUCUGGGACGGUACUGACGCUGAGACGCGAAAGCGUGGGGAGCGAACAGG